GACGUAGGAUGCAAGCGUUGUCCGGAUUUAUUGGGCGUAAAGAGUUCGUAGGUGGUUCGUUAAGUCUGAUAUUAAAGACUGGGGCUCAACCCUGGAAGUGCAUUGGAUACUGGCGGACUUGAGUGUGGUAGAGGCAAUCGGAAUCCCAGGUGUAGCGGUGAAAUGCGUAGAUAUCUGGAAGAACACCGGUGGCGCAAGCGGAUUGCUGGGCCAUAACUGACACUGAGGAACGAAAGCUAGGGGAGCGAAUGGG
rnacentral:rRNA from 1 species